rnacentral:tRNA from 1 species
GGAUGGGUGGCAGAGUGGUCUAUUGCGGCAGUCUUGAAAACUGCAGUACCCUUCACCGGGUACCAGGGGUUCGAAUCCCUUCCCAUCCG